GAUGAACGCUGGCGGCGUGCCUAAUACAUGCAAGUCGAGCGAACAGACGAGGAGCUUGCUCCUCUGACGUUAGCGGCGGACGGGUGAGUAACACGUGGAUAACCUACCUAUAAGACUGGGAUAACUUCGUGAAACCGGAGCUAAUACCGGAUAAUAUAUUGAACCGCAUGGUUCAAUAGUGAAAGACGGUUUUGCUGUCACUUAUAGAUGGAUCCGCGCCGCAUUAGCUAGUUGGUAAGGUAACGGCUUACCAAGGCAACGAUGCGUAGCCGACCUGAGAGGGUGAUCGGCCACCCUGGAACUGAGACACGGUCCAGACUCCUACGGGAGGCAGCAGUAGGGAAUCUUCCGCAAUGGGCGAAAGCCUGACGGAGCAACGCCGCGUGAGUGAUGAAGGUCUUCGGAUCGUAAAACUCUGUUAUUAGGGAAGACCAAAUGUGUAAGUAACUAUGCACGUCUUGACGGUACCUAAUCAGAAAGCCACGGCUAACUACGUG
rnacentral:rRNA from 1 species